GAUGAACGCUGGCGGCGUGCCUAAUACAUGCAAGUAGAACGCUGAAGCUUGGUGCUUGCACCGAGCGGAAGAGUUGCGAACGGGUGAGUAACGCGUAGGUAACCUGCCUCUUAGCGGGGGAUAACUAUUGGAAACGAUAGCUAAUACCGCAUAAAAGUCGACAUUGCAUGAUGCUGACUUGAAAGGUGCAAAUGCAUCACUAAGAGAUGGACCUGCGUUGUAUUAGCUAGUUGGUGAGGUAACGGCUCACCAAGGCGACGAUACAUAGCCGACCUGAGAGGGUGAUCGGCCACACUGGGACUGAGACACGGCCCAGACUCCUACGGGAGGCAGCAGUAGGGAAUCUUCGGCAAUGGACGGAAGUCUGACCGAGCAACGCCGCGUGAGUGAAGAAGGUUUUCGGAUCGUAAAGCUCUGUUGUAAGAGAAGAACGAGUGUGAGAGUGGAAAGUUCACACUGUGACGGUAACUUACCAGAAAGGGACGGCUAACUACGUGCCAGCAGCCGCGGUAAUACGUAGGUCCCGAGCGUUAUCCGGAUUUAUUGGGCGUAAAGCGAGCGCAGGCGGUUAGAUAAGUCUGAAGUUAAAGGCUGUGGCUUAACCAUAGUACGCUUUGGAAACUGUUUAACUUGAGUGCAGAAGGGGAGAGUGGAAUUCCAUGUGUAGCGGUGAAAUGCGUAGAUAUAUGGAGGAACACCGGUGGCGAAAGCGGCUCUCUGGUCUGUAACUGACGCUGAGGCUCGAAAGCGUGGGGAGCAAACAGG
rnacentral:rRNA from 1 species